AGCGAACGCUGGCGGCAGGCUUAACACAUGCAAGUCGAGCGGGCAUCCUUGUGGUGUCAGCGGCAGACGGGUGAGUAACGCGUGGGAACGUGCCCUUCGGUUCGGAAUAACUCAGGGAAACUUGAGCUAAUACCGGAUACGUGCGAGAGCAGAAAGGUUUAUCUGCCGAAGGAUCGGCCCGCGUCUGAUUAGCUAGUUGGUGAGGUUAUGGCUCACCAAGGCGACGAUCAGUAGCUGGUCUGAGAGGAUGAUCAGCCACACUGGGACUGAGACACGGCCCAGACUCCUACGGGAGGCAGCAGUGGGGAAUAUUGGACAAUGGGGGCAACCCUGAUCCAGCCAUGCCGCGUGAGUGAUGACGGCCUUAGGGUUGUAAAGCUCUUUUCUCCGGGACGAUAAUGACGGUACCGUAGGAAUAAGCCCCGGCUAACUUCGUG
rnacentral:rRNA from 1 species